GAUGAACGCUGGCGGCGUGCCUAAUACAUGCAAGUCGAGCGAACGGACGAGAAGCUUGCUUUUCUGAUGUUGCGGCGGGCGGGGGGGGAACCCGUGGGUAAACUUCCUUUAAGACUGGGGUUAAUUUGGGGAACCGGGAGCAAUUCCGGGUAAUAUUUUUGACCGCAUGGGUCCAAAGUGGAAAACGGUCUUUCUUGCACUUAUUGAUGGAUCCGCGCUGCAUUAGCUAGUUGGUAAGGUAAAGGCUUACCAAGGCAACGAUGCAUAGCCGACCUGAGAGGGUGAUCGGCCACACUGGAACUGAGACACGGUCCAGACUCCUACGGGAGGCAGCAGUAGGGAAUCUUCCGCAAUGGGCGAAAGCCUGACGGAGCAACGCCGCGUGAGUGAUGAAGGUCUUCGGAUCGUAAAACUCUGUUAUUAGGGAAGAACAUAUGUGUAAGUAACUGUGCACAUCUUGACGGUACCUAAUCAGAAAGCCACGGCUAACUACGUG
rnacentral:rRNA from 1 species